CUUCUAAAAAUCUUCAUUUGAUUUCAGAAGAUAAAAUAAAGUCAUACACAUCAGGGAUGGCAUGAGGGUGAGUAAAUGAUGAGAUAAUAUUGUAAUUUUUGGGUGAACUAUCACUUUAAUGAUGAAAAAGUUGAUGUCAUUAACUGUAGAUUCAGAUCCGUAUCCAUGGUUCAAGCUAGAUGGGUGGAUUUGGGAUGGUGACACGAUAGUUGUUUUCAGGUAAUCGUGAUCCCUGAAUUGAAGAGAAACCGAAAUUUCCCUCCUAGCCUAUAACUAUUGUCAUAUCAAGGCACCAAACCCCAGUUUUCUCUAAACUGCAAUAAGAUGUAUGCAACUCUACAUGAAAAGUGUGCGCUGAAAUGACAAGUUACCGAUUUUGCUUUUUGCAUUGGGAAUCAUUUAGAUAUUUCUGAAGAUAGAUGCCCUGACAGAAUAUGAAGUACAAUUCAAAUGGGGGUGAGAUGUAGGAAAUGGUCUAUGCUAUGCAGUAUGUAGUUCUUUGGAGGAUGAUUUGGCUCAACUAAUAAAUCUGUUAAAUAAUACAUGAUUCAGCAGAUCUAUUAAUUUUCUGUUCAUACCACAGCUACUCUAUUGCUUCACUUUACAUUCUUAUGGCUCUGCCAUGACCAUAUUUCAUUAAUUAAUUACAUAAUUUAUUAUUUAUAAAGCCCCUCCCAACAACUGAUUUAUAAACUUCCAGUUUACAGUACAUACCUGAUUUCCAUACCUCAUUGUGUUAUACCCAGAUAUAUGGACAAAGCAAAAUCUUAGUGUCUACAGUAAGAUAAUACAUUAAAGUUUUGAUUUAUUUCCUGGGGGUUUUACCUAAUUUUGCAGUUAUAUUUGCCUGCAGAAAAAAAUCCAAGACUUUAUAACAUGACAGCUGCAACAAUCUCCCUGGUUUCCAUGUUCACCAUCCUCUCAAAAGCCUUCAUAUCCCCAGCACUCCCUUACUUCUCCAAGCUGGUUGCUAGGCAACACCAGGUUUUCUAAUAUACGAGACAGAGGGAGUGAGGAAUGCCACUAUUUUCCAUGUGGAUUUGGUUUGCCAACAGAAUCAGGUCAGUGGUGCCAGUGCUAGUGCCAGUGCCAGUGCCUGAAGGGUGUCUAACACCUCUUCUCUGUUGGUAUGUGUAGACAGCUGUGAAUCAGCCAGGAAGAGGGUAUUACAGCAGCUGUCAUAAGCUACAUCUUGAAGAAUAUCCACGGAUGGGAGUAUAAAGGAGUCAAUAUUUUUGUAGAGUUAAUAAAAGUGCUGAAAUCAGAAACUGAGAGGAAAUGGUGCAAGUAUCUCAAUAAGAAUCAACAAACACCCUUGUGAAGAUGGACCUAAGUAAACCCUUGUCCUAGCUGGGCUGAGGAGGGCACCUGAGGACCAAACCCUUCCGGUCAUUACCGAGCAGGACUGGCCUGGAGCUUGACGAAAGAAAGUCAUACACAUCUGGGAUGGCAUGAGGGCAGGGGCGGAUCUAGAAUUUUUUGAUGUGGUGGCAAGGGGGUAACUUGCAGACAAUGAGGGGUGGAAAAACUGCUAACACUAACGACACUGAUAACAGCUGGAACGAACACUUAUCAUAACAUUCAAAAUAACACAUUCCAGUGCCGGAUCACCAGUCAAAACUAACACAGAUGAAAUAGAAACUACUACUCCAGAACUGGAGAUGUUUCAUGUGGAUUAUACACAUACCUGACAACAGCUAUUUCAAAAAGUGGUGAGGACACUUCUCACCUGUCUCAACCCAUAACUGACAGCGAUGUAUCUAAUAAUCAUUCAGUGAAUACUUAGAAACAACUGAGAAAAUAAUCUUUUACCUCUUUUUUUCCAUGUAUUUCUCCAUGUGGUCACUGUUGUGGUUGUUGAGAAAAUAAACUAAAAAAAAACAAAAAAACAAUGUACACUGGCUGCAAUAGCAAGUACGUGAUUGGUACGAUGCUGUGAUUGGCUGCUACUGUAAUCAAUCACGCGACUGGCUGCUGCGAUUGGCCACUGCUGUAAUUUGAGUCUGGUAUGGGUCUGUGUAGUCAUUUGUGUGUUCGGUGAGAGUUUAGGCAGUUUGACAUGAAUAAAACCCUAAACAAUGUCAACAUCAACUAUAAUAUACUUACAUUUAUAUUUAAUACUAUGCUUUUUCUUAGGGUGGCAUUUGCCACCCUAUCACACCCUGGUAGAUCCGCCCCUUCAUGAGAGUGAGUAAAUGAUGAGAGAAUUGUAAUUUUUGUGUGAACUAUCCCUUUAAUGCCCAUAAACUGGAUGGUCUUUGUUUAUAGAGUGGGAAAGCAAUUUACCAAAUGUAACAUUUUGAGUUGAGUGACAGGAUUUUUGAAUGUCCAGAGGGAUUCAAAAGGGAACAAAUGUUAAUGAUAGCAGUAGACAAGACAUCAAUUAUAUGAUAUCAUUAGCAUGAGAUUGCAUGACAUCAUAAUGACAAUCAGGAACUAAAAACAAAAUGUUUUUAAUUUUGCUUCGUUCUGAGCAGAAACAGUAUUUUUUCGUUCCGGUUUGAGUGUUCCGCAGCCUCCUUUCUUUAAAAAACGGUUAAUAAUGUUCUUUUUAAUAUGACAGUACUCUGUGUUAAGGGUGGGUGAUAUACCAGUUGCAGUGCUGCCAGAUCUCGCAAAUGAAACAAGGUCAAAUUAAGUGAAAAUAAACAUUUUUGUUUUCCUCAUGUGGGGGAAUUCUCAGCAUAGAAAUCAUAACAAGCAUAGUAUACAGUAUCAUCGCUAAAAUAAUAAUCAAGUUUACAAAGUUUCUCUCCUCACGUUGAAGUCAAACUGAGUGGAAAAAAAAAAUAAGAAUACAAAUAAACUGCUUAAUGUUAGAUGAAUUUAGUGAUAUUGAGAAAUAGUAUAUACUAUAUAUUUUUGAUACUGAGCAGCAGGGUUGAGGAGUAAUGGAAUACACGUAACGGGAAUACGUAUUUAAAAUACAAAAUAUAAGUAACUGUAUUCCACUACAGUUACAAUUUAAAUCAUUUGUAAUUAGAAUACAGUUACAUUCAAAAAGUAUUUUGAUUACUGAAGAGAUUACUUUGCAUUUUAUUGUCAUUUGUUUCAUUUAAUAUUUAGUCCUUUCAGAUGGAAAACAUUUAUAAAUAUAAAUGAUGCGAUCCAAAGUACAUCUGAACAGCGGUGAAAUACUUUCUUAUGAUGUGUUACAUUCAUACGAGCAGAGAGAGAAGUAAGUUUGAAGUAAGUUUGGAGCACAAGAAAUAGAAAUAAACCUUGUGUAAAUUGUCAGAUUUACACUAAGCUAAAAUGCUUUUUCUAGCCAUUUUACUUGCACAUUACCAGGCACGAUCAUAUUUUUUUAUCAAGAAAAUUCGCAUUAGAUCAUAUUUUAUAUUUUUCUAGUAAGACCUUUGAUAUUAGGGCAAAAAUCUUAUUCUUGAUAAUAAUGUUUGUAUUGUUUUCCUGUAAAAAUACCUAAAAAUCCUUAAAACAAGAUCAAUUUGAUUGAUCUUGUUUUAGAAACAACACUGCAUAAGAUACAGUAUGUAGGUUUUUCAGAGAAUGUAUUUUUAACAUGUGUAUUUUGUCUUAAUGUACUGCCAGAGUUUUUAUAGUCAAAACAAGUGAAAAAAUCUACCAGUGCUGAAGAAGUAAUCCAAAGUAUUUAGAAUACGUUACUGACCUUGAGUAAUCUAAUGGAAUAUGUUACAAAUUACAUUUUACAGCAUGUAUUCUGUAAUCUGUAGUGGAAUACAUUUCAAAAGUAACCCUCCCGACCCUGCUGAGCAGGUCAUUAGACCUUUGCAUUAUUAGAAAGAGCUGUUUGCAUGACCGCCUCUCAGAGCACAUUUGCACCAGGGGCCGGAUGCACCAGCUGUGUGUAAGUUAAAUCUUAGCCUAGCUGUGGCGUAAAUGGGCACUAAGUCACAAUUUACGCACUACUAAAUAUUUGAGCAUUGCACCAUUAAACAUAGGUAGAACGUAACCCUACGUAUAAACGAAAUAUUUACGGAAGCCUCCGACCAGGCGUAACGGAUGGAAUAAACAAGCUGACUGAUAUUUUAUGACAUCACUGAGCUCAUGUUUUACGUGACAGGCAUCAAUCCUUUCAACAUACAUUAUGAUGUUGACAUUUACGAGUGUAACGUGAGGAAGGAGGUCACUGGAGGCUGGAUCUAGGUGUGGCAAACUUUAAUAAUAAAUAAAUAAACUAAGUACAAAAUAACGGAGAAAACACAGGAACAAAGGAAACAUCAACAAUUGGAACUGGUCGAUAAACACGAGGUCAAAACACAUAUACAUCUACAACAACUGAUAGCCAACAAGCAAACAACAGGGCAUAUACAGUUGUGCUCAAAAAUUUGCAUACCCUUGGAGAAUUGGUAAUAUAUGUACCAUUUUUAAAGAAAACAUGAGUGAGCAGGCAAAACACAUUUCUUUAAUUUCUUAUGAGAUUCAUAUUCAACUGUAGAUUAUAACAGAAUGGCACAAUCAUAAAACAAAACAUGGCAACAAAGAAAAAAAUGAAAUGACCCCUGUUCAAAAGUCUGCAUACCCUUAGUUCUUAAUACUGUGUAUUGCCCCCUUUAGCAUCAAUGACAGCAUGCAGUCUUUUGUAAUAGUUAUCUAUGAGGCCCCAAAUUCUUGCAGGUGGUAUAGCUGCCAAUUCGUCUUGGAAAAAUGCCUCCAGGUCCAAGUCUUUGGUCGUCUUGCAUGAACAGCACGUUUGAGAUCUCCCCAGAGUGGCUCGAUGAUAUUAAGGUCUGGAGACUGUGAUGCCCACUCCAAAACCUUCACCUUUUUCUGCUGUAACCACUGGAGGGUCAACUUGGCCUUGUGCUUAGGGUCACUGUCAUGCUGGAAAGUCCAAGAGCAUCCCAUGCGCAGCUUUCAUGCAGAAGAAUGCAAAUUGUCUGCCAGUAUUUUAUGAUAACAUGCUGCAUUCAUCUUGCCAUCAAUUUUCACAAGAUUCCCCGUGCCUUUAGAGCUCACACACCCCCAAAACAUCAGUGAGACACCACCACCAUGCUUCACAGUGGGGAUGGUAUUCUUUUCACUAUAGGCCUUAUUGACCCCUCUCCAAACAUAGCGCUUAUGGUUGUGACCAUAAAGCUCUAUUUUGGUCUCAUCACUCCAAAUUACAGUGUGCCAGAAGCUGUGAGGCAUGUCAAGGUGUUGUCGGGCAUAUUGUAACCGUGGCAUUGGUGCGGUAAAGGCUUCUUUCUGGCAACUCGACCAUGCAGCUCAUUUUUGUUCAAGUAUCGUCGUAUUGUGCUCCUUGAAACAAUCACACCGUCUUUUUCCAGAGCAGUCUGUAUUUCUCCUGAGGUUACCUGUGGGUUUUUCUUUGUAUCCCGAACAAUUCGUCUGGCAGUUGUGGCAGAAAUCUUUCUUGGUCUACCUGACCUUGGCUUGGUAUCAAGAGAUCCCUGAAUUUUCCACUUAAUAAGUGACUGAACAGUACUGACUGGCAUUUUCAAGGCUUUGGAUAUCUUUUUAUAGCCUUUUCCAUCUUUAUAAAGUUCCAUUUCCUUGUUAUGCAGGUCUUUUGACAGUUCUUUUCUUCUCAAACUUUUCAGCACAACUGUAUAUAUAUAUAUAUAUAUAUAUUACAUUUUCUAAAAAAAAAAUCUUUGUGUUCUUUUGAAGAAAGAAAGUCAUACACAUCAGAGAUGGAAUGGGUAAAUGACGAGAGAAUUUUAAUUUUUGGGUGAACUAUUCCUUGAAGGUGGAAAGCCAUUUUCAUUGUUUUAUUUUUCCAUUGGCUAAUUUGACAAAUGUUUUAUUAAAUGUAUUUGGUUGUAUAAUGCCACUUUUAAAGCAGUUUGUGACCCAAACUUGUUUUAACAGUAGCAUCAGAAUUUUAUUGGCUUUUGGGAUGGAUGUUUUAUUUUUUUUAAAUGCUUGGUUGUGUAAAGUCAUUUCUAAUUGACUGUUCAUGGAAAUAUUGUGUAUUUUUCUAUUGAACCUCAAUUGUGUUUCAUCUGAGGUAUGCCAACAUGGAAAGCUUUUUUCAUUGUUAUACAGUGUGUAUGUGUUAUUCUUUGUUGCCUUGUUUUAUACGUAAAAAUGGCGGAAAGCCAUUUUCAUUGUUAUAUAAUGUGUAUUUGUUAAUGCUUUGUCUGAUAUUAUACACAUUGUAAAAAUGUUGUAUUCCGACAAAAUAAAUGUUGGAAACAUUUUGUCUGACACUUAGUCAUUCAUAUCUCACACAGUUGAUAAAAUCACACAUUCUGAAAGUGAAGAAAUGUCUUGAUAUUACAUUGAUUUUUUUUAAUUGUAUUUGUUUGGAUAUUUGGUUUGAAAAGAAGUAAAAAAAAAUAAGUUCAUACAAAGAGAAAACAUUAAGACUAGUAUAAUUUGAGAUUUCAUUAAACUUAAAGACUUUAUUUGGUUCAAAGACACUUUUUGCUUUGGAUGACUAAUGGAUAAUUAAUUAUGUCCAAUGUAAACUUUUUAAGUUGAGAAAAAUGUAAGUAAUUAUUUGUAACAAGUUGAUGCAGUUUUUUUACUUUGAUCCAAAGAAAAAAAAAAUCAGUGUAGAGGCAUUAAAAUGUGUUGUUUUUCAAAUAAUGCAUUAGAGUAAAAGUGUUUCGAUAUCAUAACAUAGCAGUGUGUAAGUAAAAGUGUAAAAAUAAGUGUUUAUUAAGACAUAAUCAGCAAUUGUACUCGUGAUUUGUGUGAAAUUGAAUAAAACGCACAGUUGU